rnacentral:lncRNA from 1 species
GUGAUGUGAGGAGAGAAGAAAAUGGCGGGACAUACUCGAAAGCGAAGUCAGUUAUUCUGCACGAGAAGGUUUGUGCAAAUACAGAAAUACUUGGAUCCCCAACUUGGGCUCCAGAUCAAUUCUUGCUUCUAUGGUUCCCAAGGCAAUUUGUUAAGUGGAAGCUUUGUUUGUUUUUUUCUCUGAACAAGAAAUAGGCACGCAUGUAAAGACGAGUCCUGGAAAACCACAACGCUUUGGAACGCGAGAGCUUUUAUAAUGGACAGGAACGAGCAAGCAGGCUUGGUUGGAGCCUCCUUAGUUAGCAGGACUCUUUUGGUAGUCCCAUUAAUUGGCAGCAACCGUUUCACACAAGGUGGAAGGGUGGCAGCUUGUAAAGAAAACAUCACUGCCAGGGGAAGGACCGUUAGGUACCAGAAGGCCAGAAUUAGCCCCCUGAUUCUUGUAGAAGCAUCUCAGGAAUUUUUAGUGUUGUCUUCUGCAGUUUGGCUAGAAGAUAGUUUUUCUUCUUCUUGUGCAAACACUUAGCUCUUCACUGCAAAUAAUUGCGGGAAAUUGCAAUCAAGCAGAAAAUUUAUUUGACCCAAAGGAAAAUAAUUUCUCCCCCCCCUACCAUGCUCCGUCAUAUGUUAUCCCUCUGUUUUCAGUGGAGAAACCAGACUGAGCCCACCUGAAAGACUGAUAGAAACUCCAUUCCCAGCUUCCUGUUUGAUCUGGGACGUCACCAUUUUCCCCAGGGAUUCAAAAUCCCUGAUGUCAUGCAGUAUUAAGGAAGUUACAGCAGAACCUGGUUAUCCAGCAUUUUUCCUCUCUUUCCGAAGCACCUCCGCUUUUUCCUUAAUCUGUGAUUAAUUGUUCCAUUUUUUGGAAAGGGAAGGAAAUAAAUUUCUCUGUUUUGAAAUUAAACUUUCUCUCUUUUCUGAAAUGGAUCCAGAACAGACCAGGCUAAGAUGGACUUCGGUGGGUUUGUCGUCCAGCGGUGGCAAAUCAUCUACUGUCCUACUCAUAUGGUGUAAACCAAGUGACCAACUUCCCACCUUUGCUCAGCACCAGAGCAUCCAGCUGAGGACGAGGGAAGGGAAGUUCUCUGGACUGGAGCCAAGGGGAGAUGGUGUGCAGAGUCGGUGUAGGUGGAGUCAGGGGAACAUGAGCAAGACUGAAAAGAAACCAUCCCUUGUUAAGGAAGCAGCAGUGGGCUUGCUGGUGGCCAGCCAGCCAUGUAUGCACAAGAUGACCCCUGGACCUCGCCUCCCUCCUCUCCCCGCAUCUGUAUUCUCACCCAUCCUCUGAAAUCAUGGGAGGAAGCUCAGCCAGAGUCAGAGGCCUCCUUCUGUUGGCCAACGUAACCUCAAGCCGGGCCCAGAGGGAGAGGAACAGGAGUGAGAAAUGGAAGACCACUUGGCAGCUUCACCAGGAUGCUGUCACCACCAACGCCCACUCCCUCAUCUUAGUUGCUUUGUGAACUUUUGCCUGUGGUCACGUUCUCCCUUCUCCCUUGGUCCCUCAUUUCUGCCAAGCAUCAACAUGCUUGUGUUUCCUAGCGCAGGGGUCUCCAACUUCGGCACCUUUAAGACUCGUGGACUUCAACUCCCAGAAUUCCUCAGCCAGCAAAGCUGAGAGUUGAAGCCCACAAGCCUUAAAGUUGCCAAGGUUGGGGACCCCUGUCCCAGCAUAAUGCAAAUGGCCCUUCUCUCUGGCUAUUCUCGAAGCUCUGCGAAUUGAUUGCAUGCAGCCUUCUCUAAGGACGACCUCCAGAAAUGUUAUAGUGUACUUUUAUUCCUUUAGACCUCAGCCAGGAGUGUUUCAUCGACGUCUGUGGGAACGUUCCUUUCUUGGAGUUUG